rnacentral:rRNA from 1 species
AGUGAACGCUGGCGGUAGGCCUAACACAUGCAAGUCGAACGGCAGCACAGUAAGAGCUUGCUCUUACGGGUGGCGAGUGGCGGACGGGUGAGGAAUACAUCGGAAUCUACUUUUUCGUGGGGGAUAACGUAGGGAAACUUACGCUAAUACCGCAUACGACCUACGGGUGAAAGCAGGGGAUCUUCGGACCUUGCGCGAUUGAAUGAGCCGAUGUCGGAUUAGCUAGUUGGCGGGGUAAAGGCCCACCAAGGCGACGAUCCGUAGCUGGUCUGAGAGGAUGAUCAGCCACACUGGAACUGAGACACGGUCCAGACUCCUACGGGAGGCAGCAGUGGGGAAUAUUGACCAAUGGGCGCAAGCCUGAUCCAGCCAUACCGCGUGGGUGAAGAAGGCCUUCGGGUUGUAAAGCCCUUUUGUUGGGAAAGAAAAGCAGCAGGUUAAUACCCCGCUGUUCUGACGGUACCCAAAGAAUAAGCACCGGCUAACUUCGUG